rnacentral:lncRNA from 1 species
CCAGAAACAAAGAAGUUUGUCCGUGAGGCUUUUACUGAAGCUUAGCCAAAGGUAGGAGGCUUUUAACAAAUAAAUACAGCUUUUACAGACUUGCUUUCUCUUCUUCAGUAUAAAUUUUGAUGUAUAAAUAACGUUCCUACGGAGACCUGGUCAUCUGCUGGUAUUGAUCACCUGCCUCCCUGUCCCCCAAGGUCUGAUUCAGUCAUAGCCUCAAACAAAUGUCACCACCUCUACUGGAAAAUGUAGUGACCAGUGGAUUAGAGAAGCGAGAGGGCUGGAAAUGAGUCUGCUUCAAGUCUUCCCAUGUACCUUGCGGAGUGACAUCUGGAAAUGGUGGAGUUCCUAUUCUGAGGAUCAAACCUGCAUUUCCUCUAUGUGGUUGAAGGCAGUGCAUUAGUGGGAUGAAGUGCCAGCAGCACGCAGCUGAAUCUGCUGAUGACACUGGUGUUUGGACUAGACCAGAGCAUGACAGUACUGGCUGGCUCAUUUGGAAUCCAAGCCUGUGGUUGUGUAUCCUCCAUUGUCAUCGUGGAAAUCGAGACUGCCUUCACCGCACAUUUAUUUCAAGGCAAACAAACGAGACACUCAGAUACUGAUGUUCAGAGCCCUUUCCUCCUUGUUUACCUAAAUUUGGUUGAAGAGCCCUUGAGAUAA